ensembl:ncRNA lncRNA:CR44591 long non-coding RNA:CR44591
UACCGAAUGUUAACAAAGGCAGUUACCUUUGCCACACCUUAUUAGCCCCCGUCCAGUCGAUCAUCUUUUGCAUAUCCGACAUAUCGAAUACAACCCAAAUUAGCCAGCCAAUCCGACUUGCAGCUCCGCUUAAUUGGUGGAAAGUAGCGUAACCGUUCCGGCCACGUUAACUUUGGCACUCCGAUCCGACUGGCGAUGGAACCCGCUCAGCAGCCGGCCAACUUGGCCAGAAACAGAAGACACUUGCUGGGCAGGGAUGCCAAAAGGAAGCUGACAAGUUGCCAGCCAAGGAGCAACAGAUCCCGCCAAGCAUUCCAAAUCGAUUACGACUGUUUUUCCAAAGAUCAAAGAGCGAGUGGGAUAUGCAGCCAUCCCGUUUUAGCAGCUAGCAAGGUGUUUAUUAAUAAAACUCCAACCAUUUCGCCUCGAAAGAGACGCACACAGGGCGAACGAAAGAGAUGGCGCGAAACAGCAACAGAAACAGUUGGUGGUACGCAAAGUGUUGACAAUGCACAAAGUUGGCACCGACUGCGCAACGACCUUCUAGGAUCCUAGGGUCCUCGAGCAAUCAUCGUUAAUGAUGGCAAUGUCCUUGUGCGCCCCGAUUUGACAAAUCAAUUUGUGCGCUAACAGCAUGCGCUCGACUCGCAGUCCGUUUGCAAGUCAGUGGGAUAGUUCGAGGACGAGCCAAGGACUCGACUCGCCCAAUAUGCACACAGAUAUAGCAUCUUUCUACAUGGGCGAUGACAGCGAUCACAGUACGAGUAGUUGGCCCAAAAGGACCAAACCGAAAUGUUUGCCAAUACGGCUGGAAACUGUUUGGGCAGAUCGUGGUGUGCAAGUGUAGCUGCUAACAAAUGGGUUUUAGAGAUUUGUGAAUAUAACGAUCCCAGUAACUCAAUCAAUCUUCAAUGUGGGAUGCUCUAAAAGUAGAACUAGCAUGUCCUUUUCUAUGAAUGAAAAUU